AUAGCGUAUAUUAAAGUUGUUGCAGUUAAAAAGCUCGUAGUUGGAUUUCUGGGAGGGUGCCAAUGUCCGCCGACGUGCGUGCGCAGCGGCGCCCUUCCAUCCUUCUGUUAACGCCUCUUGGCAUUCGUUUGCUGGUGGCGGGCUCAGAUAUUUUACCUUGAGAAAAUUAGAGUGUUUCAGGCAGGCUAGGCCGGAAUACAUUAGCAUGGAAUAAUGGAAUAGGACUACGGUCUCUUUGUUGGUUUGAGGGACUGCAGUAAUGAUUAAUAGGGAUAGUUGGGGGCAUUAGUAUUUAAUUGUCAGAGGUGGAAUUCUCGGAUUUGUUAAAGACUAACUUAUG
rnacentral:rRNA from 1 species